rfam:Nematostella vectensis strain CH2 x CH6 NEMVEscaffold_285_Cont22393, whole genome shotgun sequence.
CCUUCAAUAGCUCAUUUGGUAGAGCGGGGUCUGUAGAUUUAUAAUUGUGAUCCCUAAUUCGCUGGUUCGAAUCCGGCUCGAAGGA